rnacentral:rRNA from 1 species
GCCUACGGGGCGCAGCAGUGGGGGAUAUUGCACAAUGGGGGGAACCCUGAUGCAGCGACGCCGCGUGAGUGAAGAAGUAUUUCGGUAUGUAAAGCUUUAUCAGCAGGGAAGAAAGAAAUGACGGUACCUGACUAAGAAGCCCCGGCUAACUACGUGCCAGCAGCCGCGGUAAUACGUAGGGGGCAAGCGUUAUCCGGAUUUACUGGGUGUAAAGGGAGCGCAGGCGGCUUGGCAAGUCUGAUGUGAAAGGCUGGGGCUCAACCCCAGGACUGCAUUGGAAACUGUUAGGCUGGAGUGUCGGAGAG